rnacentral:rRNA from 1 species
CAGUCGCCGCGGGAAUACGUAGGUGGCAAGCGUUGUCCGGAAUUAUUGGGCGUAAAGCGCGCGCAGGCGGAUCAGUCAGUCUGUCUUAAAAGUUCGGGGCUUAACCCCGUGAUGGGAUGGAAACUGCUGAUCUAGAGUAUCGGAGAGGAAAGUGGAAUUCCUAGUGUAGCGGUGAACUGCGUAGAUAUUAGGAAGAACACCAGUGGCGAAGGCGACUUUCUGGACGAAAACUGACGCUGAGGCGCGAAAGCCAGGGGAGCGAACGGGAUUAGAUACCCCCGUAGUCCCUGUCUCUUAUACA